ACACUUUUCGCGAACUAGACGGAAAUAUACAAAGAGACAAUCUGAGGAUGCUCCGAAGGGUAAUUCACAAGCGACAUAUAGAUCGGGUGUUAAAUGGAAACAUGUAGAAACAGCGAUUCAAGAUCUUUGUGAGGAACAAGGUGACUGUGAUGACACCAUGGAUGAGGACGGUGAAGGAGGGUAUAAUGGACACCCUUGCUGCCGGAGAGCAUAGAGGUCUGAAGGCUGGUAAAUUGGUUGUUUUAUCUAAGAAUUUUUCUGGAAGUGAUAGAGAUGUGCGGUGUAGAUUCAUGGAUGCAAUGUCAUUAGUUGCUAAAUAUGGAAAGCCAGAUUACUUUUUAACCAUGACUUGCAACCCGUAUUGGCCGGAGAUCACAUAACUUUUGUUGCCUGGGCAGACACCUCAAGAUAGACCAGAUAUUGUGGCGAGGGUUUGUCAUGCAAAACUCAUUGAUUUCCAUGACUUUGUUAUUAAGAAGGGGUUCUUUGGGAAAGUGGCAGCUUGGGCACACAUUACCGAGUUUCAGAAAAGAGGUUUGCCGCAUGAACAUUUCUUGCUUAUAAUGGACAGCAGUUCAAAGCUUAGUGGGCCAGAUGAUUUUGACAAAUAUAUUUCAGCAGAACUUCCGGAUGAAAAGAAAUACCCGCUUCUCCACAAACUUGUCUGCAAAUAUAUGAUGCAUGGCCCUUGUGGUGUUCUUAACAGAAAUUGUGGUUGCAUGCAGGAUGGUGCUUGUUGUUUCAGAUACCCUAAGCAGUUCAGUGAGACCACGGAGCAAGAAAAGGAUGCAUAUCCUAUAUACAGAAGACGAAAUGAUGGUCACAAGGUAUUUGUGCGUAAGAAAUGGUUGGAUAAUAGAUGGAUUGUACCAUAUAAUCCAACACUCCUGAUGAGAUAUAAUUGCCACAUCAAUGUUGAAGUUUCAAGCAGUAUCAAAGGUUGUAAGUAUCUUUAUAAAUAUGUGUUUUCGGAUCUA